CAGCCGCCGCGGUAAUGCGUAGGGUGCGAGCGUUAAUCGGAAUUACUGGGCGUAAAGCGUGCGCAGGCGGUUGUGUAAGACAGGUGUGAAAUCCCCGGGCUUAACCUGGGAACUGCGCUUGUGACUGCACAGCUAGAGUAUGGCAGAGGGGGGUGGAACUCCACGUGUAGCAGUGAAAUGCGUAGAGAUGUGGAGGAACACCGAUGGCGAAGGCAGCCCCCUGGGCCAAUACUGACGCUCAUGCACGAAAGCGUGGGGAGCAAACAGGAUUAGAUACCCGAGUAGUCCCUGUCUCUUAUAC
rnacentral:rRNA from 1 species